rnacentral:tRNA from 12 species
ACAUACCUCAUUGGCUAAAGCGCCAGUCUUGGAAUGCAGAGAAUGUGAGUUCAAACCUUGCAG